GAAGAAGGUCUAUCUGGUAUUGCAUCCGAUUUUUGAUUUCUCUGAGUCGGGAGAUAUGGAUCUCGGUCCAUGUCUUUUUCUCUCAGGGAUAAUCAUUAAUCGCGGUACAUUACCUGGACCUUUCCAAUCCUCGUUCUACUUGGGCUCCUGGAAUGGAGUCCUAGUUCAUUUACUUUGAAUAAAUUAGAGUGUUCAAAGCAGGCCUCAAAGGCCCCUGAAUACAUUAGCAUGGGAUAAUAGAAUAAGACUUUGGUCUUAUUUUGUUGGUUUCUAAGGCCAAAGUAAUGAUUAAUAGGGACAGUCGGGGGCGUUAGUAUUUAAUUGUCAGAGGUGAAAUUCUUGGAUUUAUUAAAGACUAACUUCAGCGAAAGCAUUCGCCAAGGAUGUUUUCAUUAAUCAAGAACGAAAGUUAGGGGAUCGAAGAUGAUCAGAUACCGUCGUAGUCUUAACCAUAAACGAUGCCGACCAGGGAUCGGAAGCUGUUACAUAGAUGACUCUUCCGGCACCUUACGGGAAACCAUUAAGUUUUUGGGUUCUGGGGGGAGUAUGGUCGCAAGGCUGAAACUUAAAGGAAUUGACGGAAGGGCACCACCAGGAGUGGAGCCUGCGGCUUAAUUUGACCCAACACGGGGAAACUUACCAGGUCCAGACUUAGUAAGGAUUGACAGAUUGAGAGCUCUUUCUUGAUUCUAAGGGUGGUGGUGCAUGGCCGUUCUUAGUUGGUGGAGUGAUUUGUCUGGUUAAUUCCGUUAACGAACGAGACCUCGGCCUACUAAAUAGUAAUGCAAACCCUACUACAAAAAGGGUCACCGAGCCAUAUUUCAUCAAGGGGGGAGGGGCAACUCUCUUCUCUUGGUGGGGUGUGUGUGAGGCCCCUGGUUGGGUUUGUAGCAUACUUCUUAGAGGGACUAUUUGUAUCUAAUGAAUGGAAGUUUGAGGCAAUAACAGGUCUGUGAUGCCCUUUAGAUGUUCUGGGCCGCACGCGCGCUACACUGAUGAAUUCAACGAGUUUACCACCUUGGCCGAGAGGUCUGGGUAAUCUUUUGAAAUUUCAUCGUGCUGGGGAUAGAUCAUUGCAACUAUUGAUCUUCAACGAGGAAUUCCUAGUAAGCGUGAGUCAUCAGCUCGCGCUGACUACGUCCCUGCCCUUUGUACACACCGCCCGUCGCUCCUACCGAUUGAAUGGUCCGGUGAAGUUUUCGGAGCGGGGUUCCCUGCUU
rnacentral:rRNA from 1 species